rnacentral:rRNA from 1 species
UACGAAGGGUGCAAGCGUUACUCGGAAUUACUGGGCGUAAAGCGUGCGUAGGUGGUUUGUUAAGUCUGUUGUGAAAGCCCCGGGCUCAACCUGGGAAUGGCAAUGGAUACUGGCAGGCUAGAGUGCGGUAGAGGGUAGUGGAAUUCCCGGUGUAGCGGUGGAAUGCGUAGAGAUCCGGAAGAACACCAGUGGCGAAAGGCGACUCACUGGCAC